UGUGUACCUACUAUGCCCCUUCUCCAAGUC
rnacentral:piRNA from 1 species